rnacentral:lncRNA from 1 species
CUGAAGCCUCACCCUUUCAUUCAUUGUUAAACAGCAUUGUUGUUGCUACCUGUUUUUUUGUUUGUUUGUUUGUUUUUUUGGUAUGGGGGAUUGAACUCAGGACCUUGCACUUGUCAGGCAGGCAGGUGUGGCAUCACUGAGCUACAUUCCUGGCCCAACAGUGUUGUUGUUGGUGAUGGUGGGAUGUCUAAGUGUUCUGGCGGGGUCUGGGCAGUUAUUGCAGCAGGGAACACCGAGGCAGCUUUGAGCACUAGCUGUGUACCUCUCAACCAGAGUGGAGAAGAGCCAGGCUGGGGCACCAUGUACUUGUGCCACCUGCCUCAGAUUCCCCUGUGCCGUCCCCAGCAGUCUGUUGGUGCCUUGCUCACUCUUGGUUCUUUUGGCAGGGAUGCUGGGCAACACGGCUUAAUGAGCACUGGCAUCCUUCAAGCUUAGAAUGAGGACAACGGCUGGAUGUUCUCAGAGCUGUGCCACACCUGCCUGGCCAGCUGACUGCACCAUGUCACUGCAGACUCACCAGACUGUCACAGAAGCUCCCUUCUGUGACAAAGGUGUACCCCUGAGAAGACACCUGGAGGUGGCAGUGCCAUCUGGACUGAAACUGGCAUUUCACUGCUACUGUGUCUCACUGCACCCCAGAAGUAAGCCAAAGAGUGGCACCACCACGUGGCAGCCAAGCUGUUGGGAGGAUGGGGCCAGCAAGCACAGGUUUGCUCAGCACAGACAGUCACAGUGCCGGGGACAUCCUCCCACUGAGGGGACCAGGACUGUUGGGCUGACAUCUUGGUGGCUGAGAUUCUGGAGAAAUACUGUGAGCAGCAUGGAUAUCACUUGACCUGUCCUGACCUCAGCUCUUGCAGGACGGCUUGGCACUGGAUGGGACAGGGCACAGCCUGGAGGGAUCUUCUGUCACUUUGGGGCUGUGUUCUCUGGGGGACUUCCUGAGUCUCCCCAACAGCUCAUUUCAAGGCCACAGAGACUCAUGCCUGACACAAAGUAGGCAUUUAGUAAAUUAUUGAAUGAACAAAAUAAAAAUUUCUCAAGGAAAAACAGUCUUGUCUUGAUAGAUUUG